rnacentral:lncRNA from 1 species
AUUUAAAGUAUGGUGCGGGAUUAACGUCCAUACAAGUAAUUUAUUUAAACGGUAAAUUUAUUUUAUGGAUUAAUUGUGCUGUAUGAUGAGUUUUUACAGUAUACAGAUCAUGACCAGAAGUUCCUUGAUCCUCAUCAUACAUUUACAUCAGGACUUGAAGAUCCUUGAUGAUGAUAUUGAUAUGAGAGCUGGCAGUCUCUCCGGUACUAUAUUUGUAAACAUGUGAUCGGACUUAAGGGUCCUUGAUCCCUGACAUGUGAAUAAGGACCUGGGUUUCCUUAAUGAUGUAACAGUACCGUAUUGGUUAAAAGUGCCGUACACAUGAAUAAUAACUGUACUGGCAAAUGUACUGCACAUAUGAAUAGAUAUGUAUUCAUGAUUGAUGAAUAGUACUAUUCACAUGAAUAGUGACGUAUGCAUAAAUAUUAACCAUUUUGGGGAAACCGUCACUAUAUACAAAAUGGAACCUGCAGUUCCUUAAACUCAUGGAUAAACAAUUAAAUGAGAUGCCAGAAGUUCCUCAAAAUAUGGACAAU